rnacentral:rRNA from 1 species
GAUGAACGCUGGCGGCGUGCCUAAUACAUGCAAGUCGAGCGAACAGACGAGGAGCUUGCUCCUCUGACGUUAGCGGCGGACGGGUGAGUAACACGUGGAUAACCUACCUAUAAGACUGGGAUAACUUCGGGAAACCGGAGCUAAUACCGGAUAAUAUAUUGAACCGCAUGGUUCGAUAGUGAAAGACGGUUUUGCUGUCACUUAUAGAUGGAUCCGCGCCGCAUUAGCUAGUUGGUAAGGUAACGGCUUACCAAGGCAACGAUGCGUAGCCGACCUGAGAGGGUGAUCGGCCACACUGGAACUGAGACACGGUCCAGACUCCUACGGGAGGCAGCAGUAGGGAAUCUUCCGCAAAGGGCGAAAGCCUGACGGAGCAACGCCGCGUGAGUGAUGAAGGUCUUCGGAUCGUAAAACUCUGUUAUUAGGGAAGAACAAAUGUGUAAGUAACUAUGCACGUCUUGACGGUACCUAAUCAGAAAGCCACGGCUAACUACGUG